rnacentral:rRNA from 1 species
UACAGAGGGGGCAAGCGUUGUUCGGAAUUACUGGGCGUAAAGAGCGUGUAGGCGGCUCUGCAAGUCCUGCGUGAAAUCUCGAGGCUCAACCUCGAGCGGUCGUGGGAAACUGGAGGGCUAGAGUGCGGGAGAGGGAAGUGGAAUUCCAGGUGUAGCGGUGAAAUGCGCAGAUAUCUGGAAGAACACCCGUGGCGAAGGCGGCUUCCUGGAACGACACUGACGCUGAGACGCGAAAGCGUGGGGAGCAAACAGG